UUCCGUAGGUGAACCUGCGGAGGGAUCAUUACCGAGUUUACAACUCCCAAACCCCUGUGAACAUACCAAUUGUUGCCUCGGCGGAUCAGCCCGCUCCCGGUAAAACGGGACGGCCCGCCAGAGGACCCCUAAACUCUGUUUCUAUAUGUAACUUCUGAGUAAAACCAUAAAUAAAUCAAAACUUUCAACAACGGAUCUCUUGGUUCUGGCAUCGAUGAAGAACGCAGCAAAAUGCGAUAAGUAAUGUGAAUUGCAGAAUUCAGUGAAUCAUCGAAUCUUUGAACGCACAUUGCGCCCGCCAGUAUUCUGGCGGGCAUGCCUGUUCGAGCGUCAUUUCAACCCUCAAGCCCAGCUUGGUGUUGGGACUCGCGAGUCAAAUCGCGUUCCCCAAAUUGAUUGGCGGUCACGUCGAGCUUCCAUAGCGUAGUAGUAAAACCCUCGUUACUGGUAAUCGUCGCGGCCACGCCGUUAAACCCCAACUUCUGAAUGUUGACCUCGGAUCAGGUAGGAAUACCCGCUGAACUUAAGCAUAUCAAUAAGCGGAGGAA
rnacentral:rRNA from 1 species